rnacentral:rRNA from 1 species
CCUACGGGAGGCAGCAGUGGGGAAUAUUGCGCAAUGGGCGAAAGCCUGACGCAGCGACGCCGCGUGAGGGAUGAAGGUCUUCGGAUCGUAAACCUCUGUCAGCAGGGAAGAACGGUCACUGUGCUAAUCAGCAGUGAAUUGACGGUACCUGCAAAGGAAGCACCGGCUAACUCCGUGCCAGCAGCCGCGGUAAUACGGAGGGUGCGAGCGUUAAUCGGAAUUACUGGGCGUAAAGCGCUCGUAGGCGGUAUGUCAAGUCAAGGGUGAAAUCCCCGCGCUCAACGUGGGAACUGCCUUUGAAACUGGCAAACUGGAGUGUGUGAGAGGAUAGGGGAAUUCCAGGUGUAGGAGUGAAAUCCGUAGAUAUCUGGAGGAACAUCAGUGGCGAAGGCGACUAUCUGGAACAUAACUGACGCUGAGGAGCGAAAGCGUGGGUAGCAAACAGGAUUAGAUACCCUGGUAGUC